AAUGAACGCUGGCGGCAUGCCUAACACAUGCAAGUCGAACGAAGGCUUCGGCCUUAGUGGCGCACGGGUGUGUAACGCGUGGGAAUCUGCCCUUGGGUUCGGAAUAACAGUUAGAAAUGACUGCUAAUACCGGAUGAUGUCGUAAGACCAAAGAUUUAUCGCCCAAGGAUGAGCCCGCGUAGGAUUAGCUAGUUGGUGGGGUAAAGGCCUACCAAGGCGACGAUCCUUAGCUGGUCUGAGAGGAUGAUCAGCCACACUGGGACUGAGACACGGCCCAGACUCCUACGGGAGGCAGCAGUGGGGAAUAUUGGACAAUGGGCGAAAGCCUGAUCCAGCAAUGCCGCGUGAGUGAUGAAGGCCUUAGGGUUGUAAAGCUCUUUUACCCGGGAUGAUAAUGACAGUACCGGGAGAAUAAGCUCCGGCUAACUUCGUG
rnacentral:rRNA from 1 species